rnacentral:rRNA from 1 species
AUGGAGUAUCACGUCGCUCCAAUGGUUCGCCUACUUGCUCCACAAACAGAACAUUCUACACAUAGAUUGGAAGAACAAAAUCACUUCCAUCAGAAUACAACCCAAAGAUACUCCCACCCCCACCAACCGUCCCACUCCACCGUCCACCCGCCCACAUUUAUCUCAAAAAAAAUCCACCCAAGCCCCGGCCUCCUUCCACGUUUAUCCCCUCCACCGCCGGCCUCCUUCCACCUCCUCUCCUCUCCCAAUCCAGAGUGUGUGCAGCCCCGUGCGCUGCAACCGGCUGGCCAGGCCUCCUCGCGACAGCUGCCACCACCACCGCCACCCUCGCCCCUCCCCUCACCAGAAGACAACGAGAAGAGAAUAGGUCAGGCGGUGGCUCCCAGUCCCAGAUCCGCCAUGUCCAUGGCCGAGGGCUUCGACCUGGAGCUCCACAUCCAUGGCCGAGGGCUAGGACCUGGAGCUCCACCUCCGUGGCGUCGGCUGCAUCUCUCCAAUCGUGAGCUCGCGCGCCUGAACAGGACCUCCGUCCGUCCAUCUGCUUCCGCUCCUCUCGGCCGACGACGCCAUGGCUGCCAAGGCAGCCGGCGAGGUGAGGUGAGGCAGGAGAGGACUACCCCAAGCGCCUACAAGCUCCACCGGAGUUCUGCUGUAGGAAAUGAGGGAAGAGACCUUGUAGAUGUUUUUGUCCGAGUGAUGGGUGAUGGAUAUGAGAGAUUUAGGAAAGCUGCAGAUGCUGUCAAGGAGAAUGGCGGGGCAAUACUUAGUGGCCAGGCAAUAUUUGCACUACAUUAUAGUCAAUCAUUUGUUAGCUGCAGAAACAUAGAUAAGUAUGAUAAACAGAAGUGUCACAACUCAAGGGCGGAGGCCGACAUUGACCGGGGCCUGCUUGAGCUGAGGGCUAGGGCGAGGGACAUGACGGCGUCACAACUCAAGGCGGCGGCUGCCAUCGAUCAAGUGUGGCUCGUCGGGGCUGCUCGCUGUGUUUCGUCGCAGCUGCAGGCCGCGAGAUCAGGCCGGGAAAGGCGCCACACAUCGACGAGUGAGCCAAUUUUGGGUCGGACCAUAACAACGUAUCUCAGUCUCCGACGUCUAGAAGUAGUGGUGAUGUUUUGA